AGAGUUUGAUCCUGGCUCAGGACGAACGCUGGCGGCGUGCUUAACACAUGCAAGUCGAGCGGAAAGGCCCUUCGGGGUACUCGAGCGGCGAACGGGUGAGUAACACGUGAGCAACCUGCCCUUGGCUCUGGGAUAGCUCCGGGAAACCGGGAUUAAUACCAGUUAGGACCUGCGCCUGCAUGGGCGCGGGUGGAAAGUUU
rnacentral:rRNA from 1 species